GACCUAGUGGUUUAGUAGUAACACACUUGCAUUUGGUUGUAUGUGGAGUUACUGGAGUUAUGUAAGAGACUCCUGUUCAACUCAGGGUUGGGUCA